rnacentral:rRNA from 1 species
UACGAAGGGGGCUAGCGUUGCUCGGAAUGACUGGGCGUAAAGGGCGCGUAGGCGGUUUGGACAGUCAGAUGUGAAAUUCCUGGGCUCAACCUGGGGGCUGCAUUUGAUACGUUCGGACUAGAGUGGGGAAGAGGGUCGUGGAAUUCCCGAGUGUAGAGGUGAAAUUCGUAGAUAUUGGGAAGAACACCGGUGGCGAAGGCGGCGACCUGGUCCUUGACUGACGCUGAGGCGCGAAAGCGUGGGGAGCAAACAGG